rnacentral:rRNA from 1 species
AGUGAACGCUGGCGGUAGGCCUAACACAUGCAAGUCGAACGGCAGCACAGUAAGAGCUUGCUCUUACGGGUGGCGAGUGGCGGACGGGUGAGGAAUACAUCGGAAUCUACUUUUUCGUGGGGGCUAACGUAGGGAAACUUACGCUAAUACCGCAUACGACCUACGGGUGAAAGCAGGGGAUCUUCGGACCUUGCGCGAUUGAAUGAGCCGAUGUCGGAUUAGCUAGUUGGCGGGGUAAAGGCCCACCAAGGCGACGCUCCGUAGCUGGUCUGAGAGGAUGAUCAGCCACACUGGAACUGAGACACGGUCCAGACUCCUACGGGAGGCCGCAGUGGGGAAUAUUGGACAAUGGGCGCAAGCCUGAUCCAGCCAUACCGCGUGGGUGAAGAAGGCCUUCGGGUUGUAAAGCCCUUUUGUUGGGAAAGAAAAGCAGCAGGUUAAUACCCCGCUGUUCUGACGGUACCCAAAGAAUAAGCACCGGCUAACUUCGUG